UACGGAGGGGACUAGCGUUGUUCGGAAUCACUGGGCGUAAAGCGCACGCAGGCGGAUUGAUAAGUCGGGGGUGAAAUCCCGGGGCUCAACCUCGGAAUUGCCUUCGAUACUGUCUGUCUUGAGUCCGGGAGAGGUGAGUGGAAUUCCUAGUGUAGAGGUGAAAUUCGUAGAUAUUAGGAAGAACACCAGUGGCGAAGGCGGCUCACUGGCCCGGUACUGACGCUCAUGUGCGAAAGCCAGGGGAGCAAACGGG
rnacentral:rRNA from 1 species